CAGCAGCCGCGGUAAUACGGAGGGUGCAAGCGUUGUUCGGAUUUACUGGGCGUAAAGCGCGCGCAGGUGGGCGUGCAAGUCGGAAGUGAAAUCCUGGGGCUCAACCCUGGGGCUGCUUCCGAAACUGCAGGUCUAGGGACUGGUAGAGGCUGGUAGAAUUCCCGGUGUAGCGGUGGAAUGCGUAGAGAUCGGGAAGAAUACCCGUGGCGAAGGCGGCCAGCUGGGCCAGGUCCGACACUGAGGCGCGAAAGCGUGGGGAGCAAACAGGAUUAGAUACCCUGGUAGUCCACGCCGUAAACGAUGGGCACUAGGCGCUGGUGGGAGCGACCCCUUCAGUGCCGCAGCUAACGCGAUAAGUGCCCCGCCUGGGGAGUACGGCCGCAAGGCUGAAACUCAAAG
rnacentral:rRNA from 1 species